GACGAACGCUGGCGGCGUGCUUAACACAUGCAAGUCGAACGGUGAAGCGCCUUCCUUUUUGGUUGGUGUGGUUGAGUGGCUAACUGUUUAGUAACACGUUAGUAACCUUCCCCCUUCUUCUGGUUAACCUCAUUAAAUUUUGUCUAAUACGGGAUAUUCUGUUUCUUUCUCUUGUUUGGUCUGUUUAAGAUUUUGUUUCGGUGUGGGAUGUGCUCGCGGCCUAUCAGCUUGUUGUUGGUGUGAUGGCCUACCAAGGCGGUGACGGGUAGCCGGCAUGUGAGGGUGGACGGUAAGACAGGGAAUGAGAGAAGGACAAGAAUAAUAAGGGAGGCAGAAGUGGGGAAUAGUGAACAAUGGGAGAAAGGAUGAUGCAGAGACGCCGGGUGAGGGAUGGAGGCCUUGGGGUUGUGAAACUCUUUCGCGAGUGAAGAAGGGGUGACUAGUUUGUGGGUGGGUUGACGGUAGCUGGAUAAGAAGCGACGGCUAACUACGUG
rnacentral:rRNA from 1 species